rnacentral:rRNA from 1 species
GACGAACGCUGGCGGCGUGCCUAAUACAUGCAAGUCGAGCGAACCGUUCAGGACCUUGCUCCUCUGACGUUAGCGGCCGACGGGAGCGUAACAUGUGUAUAACCUACCUAUCAGACUGGGAUAACUUCGGGAAACCGGAGCUAAUACCGGAUAAUAUAUUGCACCUCAUGGUUCAAUAGUUAAAUACGGUGUUUCUUUCACUUAUAGAUGGCUCUGCGCCGCAUUCGCUAGUUGUGAAGGUAACUGCUUACCAAGGCUACGAGGGGUACCCGACCUGAAAGGGUGGUCAGCCACCCUGGAACAGAGACAGAGUCCAGACUCCGACGGGAAGCAACAGUAGAGAAUCUUCCGCAAGGGGGGAGAGGCGGACGGAGCAAAGCGGCGUGAGUGAUGAAGGACUUAGGAUCGUAAAGCUCUGUUAUUAGGAGAGAACAAAUGUGUAAGUAACUGUGAACGUCUUGACGGUACCGAGUCAAAAAGCCACGGCUAACUACGUG